CGUAGGGUGCGAGCGUUAAUCGGAAUUACUGGGCGUAAAGUGUGCGCAGGCGGCGCCGCAAGUCGAGUGUGAAAUCCCCGAGCUUAACUUGGGAAUUGCGCUCGAAACUACGGUGCUGGAGUAUGGCAGAGGAAGGUGGAAUUCCACGUGUAGCGGUGAAAUGCGUAGAGAUGUGGAGGAACACCGAUGGCGAAGGCAGCCUUCUGGGCCAAUACUGACGCUCAUGCACGAAAGCGUGGGGAGCAAACAGGAUUAGAUACCCUGGUAGUCCACGCCCUAAACGAUGAUGACUAGUUGUUGGAGGAGUUAAAUCCUUUAGUAACGCAGCUAACGCGUGAAGUCAUCCGCCUGGGGAGUACGGUCGCAAGAUUA
rnacentral:rRNA from 1 species